rnacentral:piRNA from 1 species
UGACCAAAUGUUGCAAAGGUGCUUCUUGGC